rnacentral:misc_RNA from 1 species
UCCGGCUUGUCGCCGGCGGUCCCUCUAGAGUGCCCAACUGAAUGAUGGCAACUAAAGGCGAGGGUUGCGCUCGUUGCGGGACUUAACCCAACACCUCACGGCACGAGCUGACGACAGCCAUGCAGCACCUGUGCACAGACCCCGAAGGGAAAUACCAUUUCUGAUAUCGUCCUGUGCAUGUCAAGCCUGGGUAAGGUUCUUCGCGUUGCAUCGAAUUAAACCACAUGCUCCACUGCUUGUGCGGGUCCCCGUCAAUUCUUUUGAGUUUCAGCCUUGCGACUGUACUCCCCAGGCGGUAUACUUAUCGCGUUAGCUUCGGCACAACCAGGGUUGAGUCCGGUUACACCAAGUAUACAUCGUUUACGGCAAGGACUAC